UACGUAGGGGGCAAGCGUUGUCCGGAAUCAUUGGGCGUAAAGCGCGUGUAGGCGGCUCGAUAAGUCUGCUGUGAAAGUCCAGGGCUCAACCCUGGAAUGCCGGUGGAAACUGUCGAGCUUGAGUCCGGAAGAGGCAAGUGGAAUUCCUGGUGUAGCGGUGAAAUGCGCAGAUAUCAGGAGGAACACCAAUGGCGAAGGCAGCUUGCUGGGACGGUACUGACGCUGAGACGCGAAAGCGUGGGGAGCAAACAGG
rnacentral:rRNA from 1 species